GCAAGUGAUGACUUACACAUUCUUCACUUUGACCUGAUUUAUAGUUGUGAUGACGAUUUUGUGUCUGAGC